rnacentral:rRNA from 1 species
UGGGGAAUAUUGCACAAUGGGCGCAAGCCUGAUGCAGCCAUGCCGCGUGUGUGAAGAAGGCCUUCGGGUUGUAAAGCACUUUCAGCGAGGAGGAAGGUGGUGAGCUUAAUACGCUCAUCAAUUGACGUUACUCGCAGAAGAAGCACCGGCUAACUCCGUGCCAGCAGCCGCGGUAAUACGGAGGGUGCAAGCGUUAAUCGGAAUUACUGGGCGUAAAGCGCACGCAGGCGGUUUGUUAAGUCAGAUGUGAAAAUCCCCGGGCUCAACCUGGGAACUGCAUUUGAAACUGGCAAGCUAGAGUCUCGUAGAGGGGGGUAGAAUUCCAGGUGUAGCGGUGAAAUGCGUAGAGAUCUGGAGGAAUACCGGUGGCGAAGGCGGCCCCCCUGGACGAAGACUGACGCUCAGGUGCGAAAGCGUGGGGAGCAAAACAGGAUUAGAUACCCUGGUAGUCCACGCUGUAAAACGAUGUCGAUUUGGAGGUUGUGCCCUUGAGGCGUGGCUUCCGGAGCUAACGCGUUAAAUCGACCGCCUGGGGAGUACGGCCGCAA